rnacentral:rRNA from 1 species
GAUGAACGCUGGCGGCGUGCCUAAUACAUGCAAGUCGAGCGACCAGACGAGGAGCUUGCUCCUCUGACGUUAGCGGCGGACGGGUGAGUAACACGUGGAUAACCUACCUAUAAGACUGGGAUAACUUCGGGAAACCGGAGCUACUACCGGAUAAUAUAUUAAACCGCAUGGUUCAAUAGUGACCGACGGUUUUGCUGUCACUUAUAGAUGGAUCCGCGCCGCAUUAGCUAGUUGGUAAGGUAACGGCUUACCAAGGCAACGAUGCGUAGCCGACCUGAGAGGGUGAUCGGCCACACUGGAACUGAGACACGGUCCAGACUCCUACGGGAGGCAGCAGUAGGGAAUCUUCCGCAAUGGGCGAAAGCCUGACGGAGCAACGCCGCGUGAGUGAUGAAGGUCUUCGGAUCGUAAAACUCUGUUAUUAGGGAAGAACAAAUGUGUAAGUAACUAUGCACGUCUUGACGGUACCUAAUCAGAAAGCCACGGCUAACUACGUG